AUUGAACGCUGGCGGCAUGCCUUACACAUGCAAGUCGAACGGCAGCGGGCCUUCGGGUGCCGGCGAGUGGCGAACGGGUGAGUAAUGUAUCGGAACGUGCCAUUGAGUGGGGGAUAACGUAGCGAAAGUUACGCUAAUACCGCAUAUUCUGCGAGCAGGAAAGCAGGGGACCGCAAGGCCUUGCGCUCUUUGAGCGGCCGAUGUCAGAUUAGCUAGUUGGUGAGGUAAAGGCUUACCAAGGCGACGAUCUGUAGCGGGUCUGAGAGGAUGAUCCGCCACACUGGAACUGAGACACGGUCCAGACUCCUACGGGAGGCAGCAGUGGGGAAUUUUGGACAAUGGGCGCAAGCCUGAUCCAGCCAUGCCGCGUGAGUGAAGAAGGCC
rnacentral:rRNA from 1 species